rnacentral:misc_RNA from 1 species
UCCGGCUUGACGCCGGCAGUCCCCCGAGAGUCCUCAGCAUUACCUGUUAGCAACACGGGGCAAGGGUUGCGCUCGUUGCGGGACUUAACCCAACAUCUCACGACAUGAGCUGACGACAGCCAUGCAGCACCUGUCUCCGGUCCAGCCGAACUGAAGGGAUCCAUCUCUGGAACCCGCGACCGGGAUGUCAAACGCUGGUAAGGUUCUGCGCGUUGCUUCGAAUUAAACCACAUGCUCCACCGCUUGUGCAGGCCCCCGUCAAUUUCUUUGAGUUUCAACCUUGCGGCCGUACUUCCCAGGCGGGAUACUUAAUGCGUUAGCUGCGGCACCGAAACUCCAAGAGCCCCGACAGCUAGUCAUCAUCGUUUACGGCGUGGACUAC